CUUGUAAUGGAAAGAAAUGUGAAAAUGGCGGCGCUUUGAAUAUUAACACGUGUACGUGCACAUGUAACUCACCAUACACCGGUGAUACAUGUACAGAAACAAGUUGUACUACACUAGACAAGUCUUUCUGCACGAAUUACCCGACCAGUGCUUGCCAACAAUACAGUAAUUUUCCAUCAGAUUGUAGCAUUAUGUGUGGUAUAUGCCCUCCACCUUGUGAUGGAAAGACCUGUGAAAAUGGCGGUACUUUGGACAUUUCAUCGUGUUCGUGCACGUGCAAGUCACCAUACACCGGUGAUACAUGUACUGAGACUGAUUGUAGUAUACCAGAUUUGUUUUUCUGUGAGCAGUU